AUCCAUCUGGUGGUGGUGCUAUCUAUCCCACUUUUUUCUAGCUUACCAAGAAGUAGGUUGUGGUCUACUCUGUCAAAUGCCUUACUGAAAUCUAAGUAUGUUGUGUCCACAGUAUUUUCCUGGUUGACUAAUUUAGUCACUGGAAUUGUUGAAUAACUGAAAUAAGAU